rnacentral:tRNA from 1 species
CUUGUAGUGUAGUUCGGUUAGCACGGCAGGUUCUGAUCCUGCAGUCCCGGGUUCGAAUCCCGGC